CGUUAGUCAGUUUUAGUUUGUGUUUCGUGGCAACAAAAUUUCCGACUUUUGUAAAUGUAUUUUUUAUUUUUUUAUACCCAAAAUUUGUGUGAUUCGCUUUUGGAAUGUCGUAGUGGUCUCAAAACACGUCGCUAGUCCUGGUUCCAAUCACAAAGUCCCUCGAUAGACCCAGGAAGCCAUUGUGCCAUUGGAAUUAUGGGAAGCUAUUGAUUUCCUUCGAAUCGGUGGAUGAGGAGUGUCGACAUUGGUUCUACUCCCGCGCAGCCGUUCCCAUCGCACGCCCAGGCUCCCGUUCUCCAACAAGGUGAAUGGGUUCAACGCAUAGGAUGUCCUUACCGUCCUGUGUGAGCGAGUGCCUCUGUGAACACUCCGAUGGGAAAUGGGUUGCGAGGAAGAGGAGCAGUCGACCAAGUCGAUCGCUAGUUUUAUGGCAAAUACCACUAGGGGAUUAUGGGUUUUUGGGACCGGCGGAGGAGCCUUACUUUUUGGGAGGAAUGUGGGUGCGACUCUUCGUUGGACAUAUUUUGUAUUGAAUUGAAAUUAAAAGAACUUUCUUAACAAAAAAAA